AUUGAACGCUGGCGACAGGCCUAACACAUGCAAGUCGAGCGCGAAAGUCUUCGGAUGAGUAAAGCGGCGAACGGGUGAGUAAUGCAUGGGAAUCUGCCUGGUAGUGGGGGACAACGUCUCGAAAGGGACGCUAAUACCGCAUACGCCCUACGGGGGAAAGGGGGGGAUCUUCGGACCUCUCGCUAUCAGAUGAGCCCAUGUCAGAUUAGCUAGUUGGUGAGGUAAAGGCUCACCAAGGCGACGAUCUGUAACUGGUCUGAGAGGAUGAUCAGUCACACUGGAACUGAGACACGGUCCAGACUCCUACGGGAGGCAGCAGUGGGGGAAUAUUGGACAAUGGGGGCAACCCUGAUCCAGCCAUGCCGCGUGUGUGAAGAAGGCCCUAGGGUUGUAAAGCACUUUCAGUGGGGAGAAAGGUUAUUCACCUAAUACGUGAGUAGAUUGAUGUUACCCACAGAAGAAGCACCGGCUAACUCCGUGCCAGCA
rnacentral:rRNA from 1 species